GACAUAGUCUUCGAAACUAGCUGUCACCCAGAGUCGUAAACAAACGUUUAGAUUUGUUUGUCCAUUACUGUCUCAAAACCCUAAAUUUAAAGCAUCAACUCUUAAUGAAAAGACCAUGAUUAAAAUCAAUGAAAGAAGUGAAAUCAACCCAUCUAAAAUGAAACAAAUGUACACUACUGUUCAAAAGUUUGGGGCCACUUAGAAAUGUCCUUAUUUUUGAAAGAAAUGCAUUUUUUUCAAUGAAGAUAACAUUCAGUGAAAUAGAAACACAGUCUAGACAUUGUUAAUGUGGUAAAUGGUUAUUCUAGCUGAGAAUGUUACGCCCUCCGUUUCUGAAUCAGGAUAGUGGCAGGUUUUCUUUUCCUCUUUUCCGCCUCCCUCUAUCUCUCUCGCAGGUGAGCAUGUGUGCGUGGAGCAGGCGCUGCCUAUCUAAUCAAGUGGGAUCGGCACGCAAGCAGUCUGGAGUCCUGCCUGCUCGUGCUCACCUGGAUUCUCUCCCACCCAUCAAGCCAUACACACCUCUGUUGGAACCCUGGACCUGUCUGCUCUCAAUUCCCCAUCUGCCUAAACCAAGCCCACACCAGUAGGUACUGCAACUGCAGCACCUGUCCUUGGCAACCAACCUCUUGCUACACACUACUUUUCCCCUGCCAUGGCCACACCGCUCACCAUCAGUUAAGUUCCCACUUGAUCUCCAAGCUAGAUAUGGUUUAGUGUUUUUAGUUGUGUUUGGUUAGUUUCUAGCUAAAUCAUUUCGUAGUUCAGCCAAUUAGUCAUUUAUAUCUUGUUUUUUGUUGAUCAGCUUUCCUGCCUAGGUCCUACCUUGUGUGGGUUAGUGUUAAAUUUGUAUAUUUCUGUGCACACUCUAGUGGUAGUUCUGCCAGUUCACUAGAGGGCCCAAUGCCCUGUACAGUCCCUGUAUACUUCCUGUACCCUACAUAUAUCCUGUUGUCGUCCUUUAACUGUAUUUGUAGUUCUGUAUACCUUAUUUCUUGGAAGUAAAUGUCAUAAUAUUCA